rnacentral:lncRNA from 1 species
UCGUCACCACCAAGAAUGCUUCAGUGUCACAAAAGCCCAAGCUAUUGCAACACAUGCUAAAUAACUCCAUGCAAAGCUAAUACAUUUUUCAUACACCAAAUCACCUACCAAGCUCACAUGAACCCAAGUCAUAUAUAGUUCACGGGGCUUGCAUGAGGGGUCAUGGUGUGCAAGGUUACGGAGGUCCACAAGACCCAAGAAACCUAUUGGAUAAUUGAGACUUUGGGCUGCUUGGGAGCACCAAAG